ensembl:lncRNA
CACACACACACACACACGCCCUCCUCUUCGUCACCGUUCGACCCGGUGCCUGUGAAAAUGAUAGGCUUUCAGGAGAGCCUCCAUUGUCCUGCAGAUGAAGAGGUUUUGUUUGGAGGAGCCGGUCCCGCCGUAUGUGUGGAAGUGUAGGAGUUUGGGGGCGCUGAGCGUGGCCUUGCUUGGUCUCGUCCCGGUCCCACUGUUGUUGUCCAAUCACAGCGAGGAUCAGAGGCCGGGAACAUACGAGCGUCGAGAGGGAGAGAGAGAGAGGGGGAGAGAGAGGCGUAAGGCUGUAAUAAACACCAAGAGUUGAUGUCACUCUAAAUGACUUUUCCAUGGCGUGUCAGUGUGCGCCAAUAUUGACUGCUUGUGUGCGCGUCUGUGUGUGUGUGUGUGUGUGUGUGUGAGCCAUCAUCUCAGGAAAGGUAGAAGAAGGAACAGAGCUCAUCCUCUCGGUCUAUCAGAAGCUCUAUCAGUCUGUAAUUGAAUUUUUUCCCUCUCCCAUUGUUGUUGUCUUAGUCUCCGGGGACUGGAUGUUCAGUUGUGGUUGGUUCCAAUGCUCCAUGUUGACGCACUCAUUUCUUUCGUGCCGUGGCUGCAGUGUGAAAGGCCUUGACGUGACAGUGUGGAACACUUGCACAAUAAUGUUUUGCAUCAUAACUUCACGCUGAAAGGGAUGUGAAUGCGCAACCUACAGUUCUUCAAUUAAAAAAUCAAUACAUAUUUUUUUAAGAAAAGGGUUUUUAAGUAAUGUACUUUACCAAGAUGUGAUUUAAUGUAACAUGUUUGUGCUCAUUAGUUUUUUUUUACAUGAUAACAUCACUCUGCAUAAAAUAUAUAUGUAUACACACACGCAGUGUAUAUUAUGCAGAUUGCAAUCGUGCACUCAUCAGCGUGUGUGCACAGUAUGUGUUGGCUCUUUCUCUGUUUACGUGUGUCUCAGCAUGUGCCUACGUGUGCGUGUGUGCGUGUGUGUGUGUGUGUGUGUGUGUAGGUGUGCGUGCGUGCAGCUGUCGCAGGUGUACGUUAUUAAUCAGUUAUCAGGGCAGUUUAUUUGCUGGGUGACAAGUUGCAAUUUCCCCCCUGAUUCAAGGCCUUUUUUGUCAGGUGGGAAUUACACUGAGAGCACAUGACAAAACACUUCACCUCCGCUUCGUUCACUCACUUCUUCUCCGUCCCCCUGGAUUUUUCACUCUCUCCUUUCUCUCUUUUCAGCAUCCCUUCCCUCCCCCCCCCGAUGUCAACGUCCCGUUUGCCACUCCGAGUUUCAUUGCCUCAACAUCUCCGAACGUCGUUCUUUCUGCUUUCUGUCCAUUUCUCCCUUCUUCCUCUCCUAUAUUUAUUUUACCUCCCAUCAACAACAUCGUCCUCAGGCCUUGGAGUAAAGAAAAGGCGGACUGUAUAAUUAAUCACACAGCUUGGUCUAAUUAGAGAUGAAUAUGCGUUGUCCCUCUUAUCACACACACACACACACACACACACACACAGCUUCUCGGGCCUAUCCCCUCUUGCCUUGAUGAAUCUUAUGAAUGUGACAAUAAUUAGUGAAGACUGAUGAGAGGUAAAUUACCACUGACAAUGUAAUGCUGUCCUGUCUGCCACUAGAGAGAGAGAGAGAGAGGAAGGAGAGGGAGACAGCGAGGGACUUAGAAAGUAGUUUGGUUUCAUGCAAAUUAUUAUUUUCACGUAAAUUAUGAUGCAUUGGUUUAGCUUAAUGGAAACCUUAAUGGGCUUUGGCUUGCAAUGUUAUUUCCUCAACAUUGCAAAUGCGUUUCUCAAAGUGUGAUAUUAAUAGAUGCUAUAGGAUUUUGUAAUGCGAAUUGAACCCCCUUUUCACCCAAUAUUGACAAGUAAAAUCUACAGAUUCUGAAAGAAAUGUAUUCAUUUGAACCCAGCCAACCUAAUUCACAUGUAUAUAUUAGAAGUUUUCAAAAGAAAAUUAAGGAAGCCGUGCAGAGAGAGACAGGUGGACGUUAGUCGAGUAGAGAGAGAGUGUGAGAGCUGUGGUAAUUGUUUUCGUCAGAGGCGGUGGGGAGCUAUCAGGGUAAUAAAGGUAAUUAGCAGAACAAACGAGAGGAGAGCGAGAGAGAGCGAGAGAGAGCGAGAGAGAGAGAGAGAGCGAGAGAGAGAGAGCGAGAGAGAGAGAGCGAGAGAGAGCGAGAGAGAGCGAGAGAGAGGACGAGAGAGAGAGAGAGAGAGCGAGAGAGAGAGAGAGAAGGACCGAGCGGCAGAUUUGGUGAUGAUAAACUGCAGCAGAUCUGACACCAGAUGAAAUCAGUGAAAUCAAUUAUUCUUAUUUUCUCCCUCCGGUGGGGAAAAAAAAACACACACAUGAGCCACUGUGGAGCUCAACUGAAUGGAACCAGAACUCCUCCUCCUUUGUUAUCCAGAGCUCAUUUACCCGUGUGUGUGUGUGUGUGUGUGUGUGAUUGGCAUUUCUUGUCACAUAUUGUUCAGUAUCAAAAGGUGAAUACAAAGACAUACUGUACACUGUAAACCUCAAAUUCUUUUUUGGGGGGGAUUGCAUUUCUAAAAAUGAGAAAUAAAAUCUAUAUAUAGAAAUUGCCCAUCCAUUCACUGACCGAUAUGAGACUAUAUUUAAUAAAAUGGCUGUGGUUUUUACAUCACUGUUGGCAAUGAAUACUAAAUAGAUCAAAGUACAACGAAACACAUACACACUCUUUCCCACACAGACCACAUCAUGUUGAAUUAUUUUCAACAGCUAAACCAAUCAAAGUCUUGCAUUAUUGAAUCAAGCGGAUUUCAACGUCUCUCGCCAUGGCAACCUAACUGUAUCUGACAGGCCAUCACCAGGGCAACGUUGUGACAGGCCAGGUAAUGGAACCUGUGUCACUGACAUCACAUGCACGAGAAACACUUUAUUAUACGGGAGCGUGUGUGUGUGUGUGUGUGUGAAGGGAAACAACCCUUUACAGUGCUACCAUGCUUUCUCUGCCAUGUCUCAUUUGCAAGAUGCUGUAAUUCUGGAAUUGUGCUAUGCAUGUUGAGGGUAAAUGUGUGUGUGCAUGUGUGCGAAUUGUUCCCUCCUGUGCCACUAAUGUAAAAACAAUGUAAAUUGUGUUUAAGACAAAGAAGAUUAGUUAUACUAACAUUGUACUCAUCAAAACAUUGCUGAGGUUUGGCUCCAACAGGGCAAGAAACCCAAGUGACCAGAUCAUCUACAAGUUGCAGCAGGUUUUGCCAAGUCGACUAAAACUGUGUGUUUGGCGAGUGAAUCCACAUGUGUGCAUCCGUAUGGGAAGUGCGGUCGGUCCAAGUAGAGUGUGGUGGAAAUUUCUCUAACAAAUAAAUUUGACUUUCAAUUUGUCUGAAUGUCUGACCUUGAGUUUUUGGUCCCAUUGGGUCUUUUGUGUGUUGCAUAUCCCGGAUCCCAGUGAACACAGUAAUCCUCGUUACUGAUGGAAGCGUUAACCCAAGCUGUAAUAAUUAAAAAAGAAGUGAUGAGCUGGUUUUCCUUUGAGUGCUGCCCUCUAGGGGUUUCGGGAUGAUUAAAUGUUUGCCUUGCUUCACUGUUUCUUUGUAGGCGUCCACAUUUCAAAUAAAACUGUCCACUGUGACGUUAAGUAAAGGUUAGUAAAGCGUAGUGCUCCUUGUAAUAACAUAUUGUCCUGGAAUAUUAAAAAUAUAACGGGGUUAGCAGGAUCUGCAGCGGAAAGAUCGUUCUGAGAAAUUGUCAAAGUUGUGAUUACAUUGUUUGAUUGAUUAGUGAUAUCUAGAAAAUACAAGAACAUGGCGGCGGUGUAGGCCUGCUGGUCUAUGAGGGCCUCCUGUGGGCCCCCUGAUGGCCUUAUAGUGCAGCAGUCAGCUCAGCAAACCACCAGCGUGGCCCUCAAACACAGCUUCUUAUCGGGGAUGUUUCCUUUUCGCGUCAACAGUCACAAAUAAAAGGUUCUCUUCCUUGUAGGUUUGUUUCAGGGAAAUGUAUGUAUGAUAUUUAUUGUCAGUUUUUGCUUGUUUGGUUUGGGUUGCCAGGAUGUCUGGUCUGGGUGCAUUUGAUUUGGUUGUCAAGCAGUGCCUUUGGACUGAUGGGCUCUUAGAGACUAUCACCUGGGACAUGUGAUAGCUUAUCAAAGUCUGAGCAGCCUCUACCGGACACGCAAACACACACACACACACACACACACACACGUGCGCACACACCUUUCAACUACUACUAAAAGAGGAUGAGUUUGGUGUGUCUGCGUCUUUGUGUGUGUGCAUGCCCCCGUGUGUGUACGUGUUACUCUUGUCGUCAAGGGAACCGUGGUUGGAAGGACAGUUUGACAUCUCGCUUGGCAUCAAGGGAGACGGCUGUCACCUGACGAUGCUGCCACCACGGAGAUAACCUUCAGGGUGACAGCCGAGACAAAGACACACACACACACUCAUAGUCAGAGGAAUGUAUACAGGCAAAUACACACACACACACACACACGGAGCCACGUAUGCAUGACCGCUCAGUCGCACACCGCAGACCUCACCUGCUGAGCUAAACACAGGAAGAUUGAUCCUAAUUAGUGCUAAUCAAUGUGUUGGUUGAUAGUUUUCGCCUCAAGGAAAUCGUCUGACCCCCAACAAAGAGAGGUCAGGACCUUCCCCUUCUGACUCUCAACCAAAGCCUGAUAGUCAGAGUAGCGUGAAACAGCCUGUCACCUCUCCAUCAACGAGGAGACAGUAUCUCACGGUAAUCUCGCAGGGCAGAAAUGGUUUGUUUUGUGAACACGUCUUUUUUUUUUUUUCCUCUGCACGCAACGAUGGCAACAGAAACGGUCGCGUCUGGAGUCUUUUCCUGCGCUGUGGUGUCAUAGUUUUACCUGGACAGCAGGUGAUUUGCUUUGGCUUCUGGUUUCUUCCUUUUGGAUCCAUUAGAAGGGCACGUAUUAUUCUUUCUGACGGUUCAACGUGUAGAGAAUCCAACACCAGCAGGUAUUAAACUGCAGAGAUGACAUAUUCAUUACUCUUUUACAAGUAUGAGCACUUCAAUUACAAUAAGCCCCUUUUGUCAUCCAGACUUAUUUAUUUCAUUUUUCAAAUGGGAGAAAUUAAGAUAAACUAAUGUCGGUGAGUGGCCUUAAAAAUGAAUGUUUCAAAACUACCAUUGGUAUUUGAAACAAAGAACGAUGUGUAUGUAAUUGUGUUAUCACUGUAAUGUUAAAUACAUAACAAAGAUUAAGGUUUAUAUUUUUGUAGACGAGUGCUGUAUAUAGUUGGUUCAACGUACACUAAAAUAGCCACAGUGACAAAUCACGUGGUGUUUGGCAUAUCUGUAUGAAUCUAAUGAAGGGUUGAACAAGAUAUUUUCCUCAUAAGAAUCAAGAAAAUAAUAAUUUGCACAAACCUGUUCCUAGAAAUCCCAUUGAAAUCGUGUUGAUUUAUGAAUCACUUUCUCUGAUCCUAACCAACAUACGUUAGCUUCUCUCUUGUUUCCUCGCUAUGAAAGCUUACGUCACACUGGCAGUAUGAUUUUUACAUUUUGGCUUCAAGCUUUGGUUCAGUUCCUUCUCCGUAUUACUGUCAUGUAUUUCCCUGACACGUCCGUUGUUGUAAGUUGUUCCACACUGAGAUAAUUUCACUUUAUCCACCUUCUCUGACAAAUGCAACAGAUCCAUUCUGUUUUUCUAUUUCUAAAUAGCUUAAAUGACGAAUAGGAACAGGCUCAUUUAACUGAAAUCAGAUACUCACUUCCCUGUCUUCCCCGGCUAUGUGUAUACAAAUUAAUCCCACAUUUAUUUAGAAAAAAACUAUAUGUAUUCUCACAUCCCAUCAACGAAUGUUAAAGUUUCACCAGGUGUUCAUUUAAAUGAUUUAUGCGGUGUUAAUCUUCACUGUCAGGUAGUUUGAAUUUUAAAUGUUUUAGUCUUUAGCUAACACACGUACACGCACACACACACACACACACACACACCGUGAGAAUCAGGCCCGAGGGCUAACGGUCGUCCCUCCGGGGGUUUAAGGAGCCCCGUCGUUUUCCUGCGGUGCUGAACUGUCAUGUAGAUGUGACCCAACGAUCAUCUCCUCCAGUUCGGCACGCCGCCCUUUGUUUUGAGUCCCUCCGCCCUUCAUGUGCAUGUGUGUGUGUGUGUGUGUGAGAGAGACGGUGAGUCAGGGAGUGUGUAUGAUGCAUCUGCGUGUAAGUAAGUGCGUAAUUCAGUAAGUAGGUAAGUAUCCCUCCCAGCAUUUCCUGUCUUAUGCAGCUCAGGCAGUGUUAGCCGGGGCUUUAGCACCUGCUGUCACUGCUGCAGCCCCACUCGCUGGUCCAGACACAACGGCUUGAGCUUGGAGAUGAGGAUUACUGCUAGUAAUGUGUGCUAAGAGCAUUAGCUCGUGCCCGGGUGGGUUAUAGAUUGUUUAAAAAAAAAAGCAUCACGCAAUAACCAGGAACCACCUUUAAUGGAAUAAAGUUGGUUGCGCCAAAAGCUGGGAUGGUUUGCUGAAUAAAACUCCUAGACUCGGGUCAGGUUACAUUUAUUGGCAGCUAAUGUUGUAUAUUACAUGUGUGUUUUAAUGUUGCGGCCCGAGACGGGGAGGCAGCGGAGGAAAGUGGACUUUAUCAGCUUAUCCAAAAUCCCGGAAGUCAUUAAUAGACUCCGCUGAGAUUUUGAUGACUGUAGUUUCUCUUUCAAAACAUGGAAAUUUGCUUUGCUUGACCAUAUAAGGCAACUAUUAGCUGUAUAAUCAAGUGGCAUCUUUACACAUUUAAGUAAAUGAAAACGGUUUAUGUCACCUUGAUUCUUUACAGGCACAUUCAUCAUAACUAAAAUGUUAUUGUGUCCAAAUGUAACAAAAACUUUGCAUUUGUAUUGCAGUCUUUUUUUAAGUAUUCCAUAUUCUCAUAAGAGUUAAUCCCAAACUAUCCUCUCAGAUUAAUCUGAGCGUGAUUAAUUAUCACACUACAUCCAUCCAGACUAAAACAAAUGUAGUUUCAUUAUACAUGUAGCAUCUUUAUGUAUGUAGUGUACUGCUUACUUAUAAUACUUGUCAGUGCCUCUUUUUUUACUUUGUGUGCUGUGUCAUUUCUGGUAGAAGAACUAUUAAGAAAUUCAUUGCAAAGGAAAAUGAAAGGAAAACAUUUUCAGCUGCCAUUUGUUUGGUAAAUUAGUCGUAAUAUGUUGUCUGAGUUACUUUUAUCAUUUAUAGCAUUGUGCCCUGCAGAUUUCUAUCACCAUUAACAAUUCAAUUUUUUAUUGUUAUCUUUAUUUAUACUCAAUGUUUAUGGUUAUUUAAUUUUAACUAUCUCCCACUAACCUUUACAAAAGUGCUUUUUGACAGUUUUUUCCAUCCCCACGAAUUCAUUGCCGUAAAUAAACACUUCCAUCAAUCGAACAAACUUCAAGUAUUGUGCUUAUGGAAGUCUAUGCAACUUUAUUCUCCUCCACAGAGGCAAAUAUUGUCAUUUAUUCUCCACUGCAUUUCUGACAGGUUUAAUUACUUUGAUUUUUACUUUUAAUUUACCGUUCCUGUCUGGUGAAAAGCUUGUAUCGCUAACUUUAUUGUUUGUCUUUCUGUUAAACUGAAGGAUGUUAAACAAGGAUAAAGUGUUUUCUUGAGAUAACUUCUCUUCGGGUCAGCUAUUAAAUGCAUGAGUGACUUUUCUCAGUUUCCGUGGUUGUCACAGGACAAAGCUACAAAUAUUGAAUGAGCUUAAAAAAUGUGAUACAUUGUUUUUAGUUAUAUUACUUAAAAGCAUAUUAUUGCUGCGCAGAACAAUUCAUUAAAACAACAGUGUGUAUAAUUUAGUGGGAUUCAUUACUUAAGACUGUUUCUUUUAGUAAAUACCCUGAAACUAAGAAUUUGCAUUAGCACAUUGUGUGUGAGCCCUUCAUAUCUAUAUCUCUAAAGAGAGGGUCCUCUCAUCUUUGUAUUUUUAUCUUAUCUGAAGAUUCACCACAGCUCUUCAACACUUACGAAAGGGAAAGGUGAACACGGAGGUAUUUAGCUGCAUGCAAUCUACAACCUCACCACUAGAUGGCUCUAAUCCCCAAACACUCAUACUUUACACUUUGUUAAAAAUCCUUAAAUACUUUUGCUGAAUAGGGAUUGAAUGCAAGCCUCGUACUUCCAUUUGCUAAUAAAGCAACACAACGCGUUGGUAUCUGGUAAUCUCCAGGUGAAGUCACUUUGAUAAGUUUUAAAAUAUUUACGAGUAUGUCUUGACGCUGUGUACUCUGUGUUUCAUGAGCCGAGUCAUCAUAUUACAUUAGCAUUCCUCCUCCUCUGGUGAGAAAUGUUAUGAUCACUGGUCUUCUGUCUGGAAACCGCUGGUUUGACUGGCACACACACACACACACACACACACACACACACACACACACACACAGACCUCCCAGUGGGUGCCAGCAGCAGACCAGGUAAUGACGGCUAUUUCAGUUUUUCCACUCCUGAUGUUCAAAUUGACGGGCAACCUCACACUGAGACGGAUAAUCUCCUCUCCUCUCCUGCCUUUUCUUCUGUUUGGGGGUGAGGCAGAUAGGAAGUGGGCAGAAUACUCUCAUGUUGUGUAUCAGCGGCGUGCCACUCACACUCACCCCAAGGAUCAUCAAACGCGGAUGAGCAAGUCCACGUGCGCACACGCACACACACACACACACACCUGCACAUAGAAAGAGUUGUACGCUGAGCAACAGGGGGAGACAGCAGAAGAGGCGCAAAGGAGAGGAGCAAACAUGCGUCACAAGAAAACAGAGACACAAAUAGACAAUUAUUCGUAAAGGCGUGAAACGGUGAAGAGCUGUAAACAAAGAGGGAGAGUGAACAUAAAUAGACCCCCUUUAACCUGGUUUACAGGAAAUAUAUCUAAAAAAAGUUAGCUGCUACUAAUCUUCAGAGACAUGGAAAUAUAUGAACUCUAUAAAAACUGCAAGAAAGAAACAUUUGAAAGUGUAUGUUAACUCAACAAAAUUGAAGGUUAAACUGAUAUAGUUACAUAUAAGGCCACAAAUAUAUUCGUAGUUGUGUAUUUAACAGCCUUGCCUGACUAAUUUGAUAAGCUAAAGAUAAAAAUACAGACAGACAGCAGCUUUAUAUUAAUUCUCAUAUAUGUGCAUACAUAAAAUGCUAUUACUGCAACUAACUCUGAAAAUACAACUUAUAGUAGAUGCAGAGAGAGCCAACGAAGGAGGGUUUCCAUGUUUCCUGCUGAACUGCAAAGUGUCUCAGUGGGUAAAAGACACAAGACUAAUCACUCUCAUUGUGGCCCAUUUCCAUGGUAACUCUGCACCGAGCAGUAAUUUAGCCUCGCUUGCUAACAACACAGAGCGAGUCAUUAUCUUAGCGCCAGGCUAGGGCCUCCUAUUUAAAGAUUCAUACCAUGAAUGAUCAAUUAGAGAACAGAUUGGCCUAAGUGGGGGAGAAGGGACAGGAAAAGAGGGAGAGAGGACGGGGCUGGUAUGUGGUCAUCCUUCUACCCAUCCAUCCAGGGAUGCCCCCCUGUAUUGCUAUAAUUGACCAUUGAUCAUUGACAAUGCGCCCACUCUCCAAACCAUUGAGAAUUUAAUUCAAAGACAAUUCAUUGCUUUUACUGAAGAUUUUGUGAGGGGAAGUAAAAUCAAGGUGGAUUGAAUGUACUCCAAUAGAUCACAAAUGGAGAGAGUGUUCAACUGUAGUUACCGGAUGACGAUGCAGGAACAAUUUUGGUAAAAUAAAGUUGUUGUUUUUCUGGACAGCCCCGGAGCCGCCUGCCUUGUCCGUGUGGUGGUGCCAGAAAUGAAAUGAAUGAGGGAGCUGCGGUUAUUCUCUGAGGUUUCUUGCAUCCAAUUUUUUACCAACCAACAAUGUUGUUUCUGUGUCGCCAUGACAACAAUCUUUUCCCAUCCAUAACCAGAUGAUGGUUAGUUUUAGUUUUCAUAACUAAGGACAAUGGUGUAUAUAUACGAAACAAACCAGAUUGUGCAGAACUGAAUGACCACAUAUUUCUUGUUAAGGUUUGAAGACUGAAGUUACUUUAAUAAGAUUACAAUCGUGUGAAGAAGUCCCUGGUCUCUCUCUCUCCCCCUCUCUCCCCCCCCUCUAUCUCUGUCAGGCCUUUUGUGUGCCUCCUUCUGAAGAAGCUGUCAAGCUGUACUGUUUAAUGGCUCACAGGAGGGACAAAAAGCACACUUUGUUAUGUUUUGUCUCCCUGCCGGGCUGUUCAGCUGAGUGAGUGAGUGGAGGGGAGAGAGAGGUGGUCGGGGGGGGGGGGGUAACAUGUAAUUUAGUGUUUGCCCCACUCUACUGUACAUAGCUUUAGUCAUGCUAAUGCUUCGCUUUGUCAGGCUGAGGAGAUAGCCAUCAAUCAGCUGUCAUUAUGGCCAUUGGAAAAUAAGAAAGAAAGAGAGAGAGAGAAAGAGUAGGUCCCGGUACCCAGUUCCCUCCCUCCUCGUCCUCUCCUUCUUCUUCUGCUACCAAACAGACUUGGGGGUCCGGGGAAAGCCUGGCAGCUGGAUCCAGAUCUGGAUCCAGAGUCCAGGUGGCGGACAAGAGGAGGAGGAUCUAUGGCAAAAAAAAUGCAAAUAAGCCUGUUGCAAACUGUUUCGGUGUCGUCACGGUUAGCUGCUGAAGAGCCCUCAGGGUCCUUGUUUUCUUGUUUUUGUCAAAAGCACGUCAGAAGAAGUAUUUAAUUGUAAUAUGCCUCUGGGAACUCGCGGUGCCAUUAAGAGCCAACGGCCGCUGUCAGCAGAGGGUGAACCCUUUAUCAUGCUAGCUAAAGUUAGCGCUGAAAUAAGCUAACAUGCCCAUUAGUGCCAGUUCAUUUAGCUCGUUAGCUCGACGCCUCGGGACUGAUGACAUUCAUUACAUAUCAUUAGUGCACAAUUAACAUGUCUCACUCAGACGGCGACGCGCCCAAUGUUACACGACACUUUUAAUCAUGUUUUAUUAAAUGUUUCCGCCUGCAUGACAUGAUUUAUGAGUUUUACAUGACAGGGCGUUCAUUACAUAAACCCGCUGUAAUCAUAAAGGCCGCUGGCUGCUGCCUGAUUCCAUAUCCAAAGUCACAAUUCUGAUUCUGUCCUUGGACUGGAACUUUUGAGGCAGUUUAUUUAGAAUUAUCAUUUAUUUUUUUCUCCCCCAAUAAUUCACUUCUCCUUUUAUUGCUUCCUUGCCUAUCAAUCUUCCAGGAAUGCAAUUUACAUUCUACAGGGUCCUUAGCAGUUUUUCACGUCGAAAUUCCUACUACUACAACUAAUAGUUGAGAUGAGGUGUGUGUAGUGUGUAGUGCAUGGUUGCCAAACCUCGUUUUAUAGAUUUUGAACUGACAACCCAGUUUUUCGGUCACGAAUGUUUAAUUUUUACAUUAACUGCGGCUGCCAAAUACAGUGGUGGAAACUAAGUGCAUUUGCUCAGGUACUGUGCUUUUGCAGUAUAAUUAUGUUUACUUGAGCAUUUACUUCUUGUACUUCUACUCCACUGCAUUUCAGUGUAAAAUGAUGCACUUUUGACUCAUUCCCCAUCCACUCACACUUCUCGUUGGUCAUGUACUGUUUGCUAGUGCUCCGCAGUGUCUGGCACAAUUCAGAGGUUCCCUUGAACGUGUAUGUGUGAUGCACCAGGAACUAGCUCCAAUGUAAACACAUAUAAAUGAUUCGAUUGAUUGGUUUUGUGCCAGGACAGUCCAACACUACAUCCAGUACACACACACACACACACACAGGUAGAAACCGUACUAUUCUCUUUUUUAUUAUCAAACCCACCCACUGAUCCACACACAGAAGGAAGCGAAGUAUUGAUUUUGCUGUCUCUGGGUUGUUGAGUGUGUGUGUACUUGUGUGUGUGCGCGUAUCAGAGGGAUUAAGGCCCUCUCUCAGCUGAGAUACCAUCAGCCAUCAACCCUGCGAGUCCGCUUCGGGCUUUCCCGGCUGCCGCAUUGUCUAUUCUGCUCCGCUAUGUGAAAAAUGUUGAAUAUCAACAAUGGCUUUCAGUGGCGUAUUGUUGAGUUUUUGUAUGAACUAAUCUUGCCUCAGUGAAAGAGACCUAGGGCUUGGACAAAACGUCUAGAGCCACAGCAUUCCUAGCUGGCUCUCCCCUUGAACACUGCAGAAGGCUGGGGCUGAGGGAAAGGCAGGCUGGAGGAGAGGCAGGGACAGGCAGAGCCGAGGCCGGGGUAGGAGCUCUGAGGCUGGGGAGAUGACGGGCCGGGGGAGGCCGGGCCGGAAAAAAAGGUGCGAAGGUGGGUGGGUGUGGCCGGACGCGUAAAAGCGGUCGAAGCUGUGAGAUAGGUGAGGGCCAGGGAGGCUGAGGAGAGGCCGCAAAUGAAGGUGCCAGGGCCGGGAGAGGAAGGUUGGGGACGUGUUUGAGACGGGGGUUAACGGGUGGAGGAAGCGGUUCAUGCAGGAGCAGGUGGAGGAGGUCAGGUCAUUGGUAGUAAACUUUGUAGACCAUCGUGACCGGGGGUUGAAAUGGACAUAAAUAUAUCACUUUUCUGUAUAAGUGUAACAGAAGGCUGAAAAAGACGAAACCAGUUCAGGUAAAAGAAGUAGGACAUGGUUGUAGGUGAGACAAGUAGCAAAACAACCACAAACCUAAAUAUGGCCAGAAAAAAGACAAGGGGAGUCAUCUGCGUCUCCCGCCAUGGAUGUAAUGCUAAUUGGGACGUAGGCCGGCGUCCAAUCAGACAUCAGGACCGUAGGCCUUGUCAUAACGACAACCGUGACAUCACUGCAAGGUAAGCUUGAAAGAUUGGAUGAAUGAUUGACUUGCUUUGUGACUUGUGUGACACAGAACUGUUUCAUUGGGUGUCUGAGGGAGACAGAAAAAAAAAGAAAUUAGCAGGGUGACUCUUCUCAAAAAACAUGUGGAGGGUGUGAGAAAUAACUGUCAGAGGCCACGAGGAGUUUCCACGCAGGCGUUGCUGACUGCGCUAGUAUUUUCAUGCAGAUUUAUCUGGUAGCAAAAGGCCUGUGGUUCUGCUCAGAGGGAGGUUUCUGUCUGUAUGUCUGUCUGUCUGUCUCUGUGGGUAAGAGUGUGUGUCUGUGUGUGUGUGCGCACGUGCCUGUUGCCGUCUCCUUCCUGUCCCGCUGUGUCUGAUGAGGCUCCCGCAGAUGGAGGAGGAGAGGUGGAGCCGGGAUGGAGUCGAGGGAGAUCUUUUUAUCCCGCUGUCAGAGGACCUGUGUGCGUGUGUGAGUGACACCCCGUUAUAUUAGCAGUUUUAAACAGCCCCUGUCUGGGUUGCCUUCUUUCACAUUAUGGGAAGAAUGGGGCAGCGUUUAUGGCAUUCUCCAAAAUCAAGGUUGGUUUGCCAACACAUUUCCAGAGCAAUGCGUCGUAUAACACCGCUUGGUGAGUGACCUCAAAUACACUCAUUUCAUACAAUGUUUCUUUCUCAAAUAACUUUUAACUUUGCUCCUCCUGGACCAAAGUCCUGUGCUUGUUUGACCUAUAAACCUCAGUGGGGACUUUCUCACUGUGUAAACGAUGCUGGACAUGUUAUUUUCCCUCCUUUUCCAGUGUGAACACCCUGCACACUCUGAUCCGAGUCAGAGUGAGUGUGUCGCAUUCAGAUAUUUACUUUCUGCGAUCAGAUGUCCCCAUCUACCCAAACCGGUGUCUGGUUUGGUACUUGCGCCUCUACUCCAUGGGCUAUGAUGUGUUAUUAAUUAUUAAAUGACCUUAAAAACAUGUGUAGGUCAAGAGCAACUUCAAAGCUUAUGCUAUAAUUCUGUAAACAGCCUUUUCUAUUAUUUGCACAGGGUGAAUAUAUUAAAACAUUGUGGGGUAUUUAUGGAGUCUUCAUAUUUGUCAUUAUCUUUCAGAGAGAGAAGCACUCUCAGUUGAGUGGUGGCCUUCUGACAACACAAGUAGCUUCUGAUAAUGGCUUUACAGGGGUCAACAGGGUGUGCGUGUGCGUGGCAGUUUGGGGUCAGUGCCACGGAAACCUGGAAUUGAGAGAUGGUUGGCUUAACCCCUCAACCCCCCCCCCCCCCUCCCCACUGCCACACACAAGCACACACGAAUGGACAUGUGAACAUCAGUGCAGUGUAAUCGGCCGCCCCUGGUGAUUUGUUCUCUCAGCUUGAAGCCCUGUCAUUCCUCCCUGACUCUUCACAAUUACAGCCCUGAACUGAACUAGAAAAUCUGCUCCAAUCUAGCAAUUAGUCCUGAGGCCAGUGCGUGUGUGUGUGUGUGUGUGUGUGUGUGUGUGUGUGUGUGUGCGGGAUGGCGGGGGGCUCUUUGUGUUUCAAUCUCUGUGAGGACCAUGAAGACUGUAGUUGGUUACAGGCAAAUAGUCUUUUUGCGUUUCUGAGGUGUCAAUAUAUACCGUUGUCAUAUGUACAUGCUUUACCUUGCUUUUUUAUUAUUUCACAGUGGAGAUGGUUUUUAGCUUCACCUCAGUUACAAUAAUUGUCAAAAUCCAAAAUGUGAUGAUCCUGCACCUAGGAGGUAUAGUCCUCGUCAUCAAUAUAUAAAUUACUGUUUUAAGAAAAAGCAUUAGGAUUAAACAUAACUAAAUCAAGUUGACUCAUCAGUUAGUUCAGCAGCAACAAUGUAAAAAGACUGAUUUAAAACAAUUUGGUAUAAUUAUUUUAUUAUUUUGCAAAGGAAGUCUAAAUGAAGAUACAGCUCUGAUGGCCCAUCAUUUAGUGAAGCACCAGUGUUGCAUCUUGCUGAGUCUAGAUUCAUUUAUUUAACCUGAAAAGACCCUCCAUAGUGUUUUGUGUCAUAACGCAUCGCAAAUGUGUUCUACAAAAUCCAAAAUGAUGAUGUGUAAAGGCUGCCACUCUUUUUACGAGGGCUUAUUUGUUUUUCAUGCAGCUCAAUAUCAUAAUCCAGAAAUUUGCCCUCAACAGGCCUCAAGGAUGCUGAGAAAACUGCAUGAAAACAAACUUUACAAACAAAAAGUACUUUGAACGCGCAUAGUUCCUCUCACGUGCUGAUAAGCUUAACGUGUCCUCAUUAUAACAUGUGGCCUGUAUUGACCGCCGCAAACCUAUAAAUGACGACAGUGAAAGACAGCCUCCGGUUCAAUGGGUUUAAAGUAAUGCAACGGAGGGUCCUUAGAAGUGUGUGAGAAUGAGAGGAUGAAGCGGACUGGGGAGGAGAGGAGGGCAGGAUGGGAGAGGGAGGGGGGGGGGUCCUGGCCAGAGGGAAAGCAGGCCUGACUGCGCAGCGACAGAGACGCUUAGUGCCGCCUGGCUUCUUCCUAAAGACUCGGCCUCCUUCCCCUGUCCCCCCCACCCCCCUCACCCCACUCCCCUCACCCCACUCCCCCCGCCCGCGCUCAUCGCGCCCUUAUGUCCCAUGUCUCUCCUCUGCCACCGCUCUCUCCUUCACUCUCCUCUCUCCCCCUUUUGUCCCUACCUUUCCUUCACCCUCUAGUUCCUCCGCUCGCUCUCCUUUUC